AAAGGUGUUCCACGUUCUAAGUGCUGACUGCGCCCGCUCCUGACCAGCGGCCCCCUCUGGGCUGAAGGGGACGCGCGUGGUCACUCCCACUUGGAUGGGCAAGUGGGUGCACGCAGCGGACGUGCAGACACACCGUUCCAGACGCAGCCUGGCACGGGCCGCUGAGCUGCUCGGGUGACUGGAGUGGCAUCAGAAAGCCCCUGGGAGCGCGGGCUCUCUGCACACGGCAUCGCUAAGACUUGUCGGUCCGUGGACGUGGGACAGCCCAGCUGGAGCAUCCUCGUGGGCAGCUGUUGGAGAGGCGUUUUUGGCGCUGACGGUUGCUGAUGCGGUGCGAACGUCGGAGCUCAGAGUGGGAGUCAGAACAGGAAGCAACAGCUGCUCACACCUGGCCUCACCCCAAGGCGCUGGUGCUCACAGCACAGGCCCGGCGGGCAGCGCGGGACGGCCGUGUGGCUACCGGGCACUGGGACAAGUGAUUUUCCGCAGUUCUGUCCGGGUGCCUGUCC
rnacentral:lncRNA from 1 species